GUUUCAUGGUAGCCCACGAGGCCACGACCCGGUGUCCCCACUCCCCAGUUCCUCAACAGCUCGUGAGUGUUGAGCGGCAGUUUUGACGGUGAAUGGCGAGCGGCACCUGGCUUGGUGGUCGGCGGCAUGAUGCUCAGCGGGUUAGAUCGGCGAGAAUGGAUUCAGACGCGAAGCAUUUUGAGCAGGCGUGUGGCCUCGAUGUCGGGGCAGCGCAGCAGGUGGUGGUCGCGGCGGCGCUGCAAGUGGUGGUCGCGACCGCACUGCUAGCGGUGGUCACGGCGGCGUUGGUUCGACCACGGUCGCCACGGACUGCAGAAGGACGAGCAUCCCGCGCCGCCACCGGUGUCCUCCGUAAUUCCCUUUGGAUCUCAUUCUGUGCUGCCUCAUUUCUUGCCCACGAGGUGUUUGUUUUAAUGCCUGAAUGGGAACUGCUACUGACAAUGUGCUCAAAGAAGACUCUUAACAGUGAUAUAUUGAUAGGAACACUCCAUUUUUUCCAUUGGUGGGUGGUCAUCGAUUCGCAGUAGGCCAACUAGUCAUGCAACAUCGCUAGUGGUCCUCAGUGUCAGGUUUCGUUGACCGUUGGCUUGCUUAUUCAUGUGCUUUGCAUCUCCUCCCUGCAAGAUGACAAAGGCUAAUCAGUACAGUGAUAAAGUUCUCUCCUAUAUCUUGUUCCAUGAUUUGAAUUAAUGCAAGCCUUUACCUGAUUCAUUGGAGAAAUUCAGGCCAUUAAAAUUACAUAGCUGCUCAUAUGUUAAAAACCCAAAAUGCUCUCUCUUGUGCCUGGUCGUUGUAAUGUACUCCCUCCGUAAACAAAUAUAAGAGCGUUUAGAUCACUACUUUAGUAAUCUAAAUGCUCUUAUAUUAGUUUACAGAGGGAGUACUUGUGUAUGUCUGCUUGGACGCUUAUUUUUACUAUCAAAUGGAUGUAUAUUAGCAAUGAGAACGGCGUCAGUCUUAUGUGUUAUACCUUUACAACAGCACAUCAUGCAUUCCCCCAUUUUGUGAUAUGAA